rnacentral:rRNA from 1 species
UACGGGGGGGGCAAGCGUUGUUCGGAAUUACUGGGCGUAAAGGGCUCGUAGGCGGCCAACUAAGUCGGACGUGAAAUCCCCAGGCUCAACCUGGGAACUGCGUCCGAUACUGGAUGGCUUGAAUCCGGGAGAGGGAUGCAGAAUUCCAGGUGUAGCGGUGAAAUGCGUAGAUAUCAGGAGGAACACCGAUGGCGAAGGCAGGUCACUGGGCCGCAACUGACGCUGAGGAGCGAAAGCAUGGGGAGCGAACAGG